CAACCUGCCUCAUAGAGGGGAAUAGCCUCCCGAAAGGGAGAUUAAUACCGCAUAAGAUUGUAGCUUCGCAUGAAGUAGCAAUUAAAGGAGCAAUCCGCUAUGAGAUGGGCCCGCGGCGCAUUAGCUAGUUGGUGAGGUAACGGCUCACCAAGGCGACGAUGCGUAGCCGACCUGAGAGGGUGAUCGGCCACAUUGGGACUGAGACACGGCCCAGACUCCUACGGGAGGCAGCAGUGGGGAAUAUUGCACAAUGGGGGAAACCCUGAUGCAGCAAUGCCGCGUGAGUGAUGACGGCCUUCGGGUUGUAAAGCUCUGUCUUCAGGGACGAUAAUGACGGUACCUGAGGAGGAAGCCACGGCUAACUACGUGCCAGCAGCCGCGGUAAUACGUAGGUGGCAAGCGUUGUCCGGAUUUACUGGGCGUAAAGGGAGCGUAGGCGGAUUUUUAAGUGAGAUGUGAAAUACCCGGGCUUAACUUGGGUGCUGCAUUUCAAACUGGAA
rnacentral:rRNA from 1 species